CUAUAUACCGCCGUCGCAAGCUUACCCUGUGAAGGCCCCAUAGUAAGCAAAAUGGGUAAAUCCCAAAACGUCAGGUCGAGGUGCAGCUCACGGAGUGGGAAGAAAUGGGCUACAUU
rnacentral:rRNA from 1 species